rnacentral:rRNA from 1 species
GACGAACGCUGGCGGCGUGCUUAACACAUGCAAGUCGAACGAUGAAGCUGGAGCUUGCUCCGGUGGAUUAGUGGCGAACGGGUGAGUAACACGUGAGCAAUCUGCCCUUGACUCUGGGAUAACUGCGGGAAACUGUAGCUAAUACCGGAUACGACACCUUCGGGCACCCGAUGGGUGGGGAAAGAAUUUCGGUCAAGGAUGAGCUCGCGGCCUAUCAGCUAGUUGGUGAGGUAACGGCUCACCAAGGCGACGACGGGUAGCCGGCCUGAGAGGGUGACCGGCCACACUGGGACUGGGACACGGCCCAGACUCCUACGGGAGGCAGCAGUGGGGAAUAUUGCACAAUGGGCGCAAGCCUGAUGCAGCAACGCCGCGUGAGGGACGAAGGCCUUCGGGUUGUAAACCUCUUUUAGCAGGGAAGAAGCGAAAGUGACGGUACCUGCAGAAAAAGCACCGGCUAACUACGUGCCAGCAGCAGCCGCAGUAA